UACGGAGGGCGCGAGCGUUACCCGGAAUGAUUGGGCGUAAAGCGUCUGUAGGUGGCUUCUUAAGUCCGCUGUCAAAUCCCAGGGCUUAACCCUGGCCAGGCGGUGGAGACUACUAAGCUUGAGUACGGUAGGGGCAGAGGGAAUUUCCGGUGGAGCGGUGAAAUGCGUAGAGAUCGGAAAGAACACCAAGGGCGAAGGCACUCUGCUGGGCCGACACUGACACUGAGAGACGAGAGCUAGGGGAGCAAAUGGG
rnacentral:rRNA from 1 species